rnacentral:lncRNA from 1 species
AAGAGGGUGAGACUCUGAGAAGUGUGCAAGAAGAAAACAUAUUUGGUGUUAUGGCUUCAUCUCUUUCAAAGGAGUGGAAACUGGGCCAAAAUCAGACAGUGCCAGACAGUGUUGACAAGAAGAUGAAAAGGACUACAAAGAUAUAGUAAACGGAAAAUUUGGAUUAGUGAAUCUACUAAAUAAGAUGAGAUACAUCAAGGGACAUGGUGACAGAAUCAACUCAGAUUUAAUCCACUGAAUCUGCUUGCCAUGGGACUAAGAGGCAGGAGAAUGUCAGGAAUGACCCAGCACAUGCCUGGUUGUGCAAGAGCCACCUCCUGCUCUUUCCGGAGCCAAGCCUGG